rnacentral:rRNA from 1 species
UACGUAGGGUGCGAGCGUUACUCGGAAUUACUGGGCGUAAAGCGUGCGCAGGCGGUUUUGUAAGCCGGAUGUGAAAUCCCCGGGCUUAACCUGGGAAUGGCAUUCGGGACUGCAAGGCUGGAGUGCGGCAGAGGAGACUGGAAUUUACGGUGUAGCAGUGAAAUGCGUAGAGAUCGUAAGGAAGACCAGUGGCGAAGGCGGGUCUCUGGACAGUUCCUGACACUGAGGCACGAAGGCCAGGGGAGCAAACGGG